GCCCGCCGCAGCCGUCUGGCAGCUGCUCCGGGGACCUUCGACCGUGCCCCGGGCAUCUAGGGUCACGAGGGCCAACGUGUAGUUUCAAGCCGCUGAAGCGGGAGAGACGCUGAAACUCACGACAUUUUUCGACAGUUCGUAAAGCGAGAAAAUCGAGGAGACCUUCCCGACUAGAGAGCUCCUUGGAGGUCAAAAGGGGAGUGAUGCCAAGCUGCCCAUAGGCCUCUUCGCUGGAAUCCAUCUUGGCUGAGAGAUGCGUGUGCACAUGGGAGGAACGUGAGAUAAACCAAACAUGGACUCAGAACCAGGAGAAUCAAAAUUAUUGGCCAAAGGGAACCCGGAAGAAAUGCUCCUCAUUAGUGAUUUAAACUACGCCAAGGGCACGACUCUCUCAGAGUCCUCCCGUGUGUCUAUCCACAUGUACUGUACUCUUUUCCUCCUAAUAAAUACUUUACUUGUUUCACUA